GAUGAACGCUGGCGGCGUGCUUAACACAUGCAAGUCGAACGAAGCACUUUAUUUGAUUUCCUUCGGGACUGAUUAUUUUGUGACUGAGUGGCGGACGGGUGAGUAACGCGUGGGUAACCUGCCUUGUACAGGGGGAUAACAGUUGGAAACGGCUGCUAAUACCGCAUAAGCGCACAGCAUCGCAUGAUGCAGUGUGAAAAACUCCGGUGGUAUAAGAUGGACCCGCGUUGGAUUAGCUAGUUGGUGAGGUAACGGCCCACCAAGGCGACGAUCCAUAGCCGACCUGAGAGGGUGGCCGGCCACAUUGGGACUGAGACACGGCCCAAACUCCUACGGGAAGCAGCAGUGGGGAAUAUUGCACAAUGGGCGAAAGCCUGAUGCAGCGACGCCGCGUGAGCGAAGAAGUAUUUCGGUAUGUAAAGCUCUAUCAGCAGGGAAGAUAAUGACGGUACCUGACUAAGAAGCACCGGCUAAAUACGUG
rnacentral:rRNA from 1 species